UACAUGUGGGGCAAGCGUUGUUCGGAAUUACUGGGCAUAAAGGGCGCGUAGGUGGCUUGUCAAGUCAGGGGUGAAAGUUUUCGGCCCAACCGGAAAAUGGCCUUUGAUACUGUCGAGCUCGAGUGCGUGAGGGGUAACCGGAACGAGCAGUGUAGCGGUGAAAUGCGUAGAUAUUGGGAAGAACACCGGUGGCGAAGGCGGCUCUCUGGACCACAACUGACGCUGAGGCGCGAAAGCGUGGGGAGCAAACAGG
rnacentral:rRNA from 1 species